GGUGGCUCAGUGGUAGAGUGCUUGCCUUGCAUGCAUGAGGCCCUAGGUUUGAUUCUUUAGCACCA
rnacentral:tRNA from 1 species